rnacentral:rRNA from 1 species
GAUGAACGCUGGCUACAGGCUUAACACAUGCAAGUCGUGGGGAAACGGCAUUAUGUGCUUGCACAUUCUGGACGUCGACCGGCGCACGGGUGAGUAUCGCGUAUCCAACCUGCCCCUUACUUGGGGAUACCCCGUUGAAAGACGGCCUAAUACCCGAUGUGUUUCAUUGACGGCAUCCGAUAUGAAACAAAGGUUUUCCGGUAAGGGAUGGGGAUGCGUCUGAUUAGCUAGUUGGCGGGGCAACGGCCCACCAAGGCGACGAUCAGUAGGGGUUCUGAGAGGAAGGUCCCCCACAUUGGAACUGAGACACGGUCCAAACUCCUACGGGAGGCAGCAGUGAGGAAUAUUGGUCAAUGGACGCAAGUCUGAACCAGCCAAGUAGCGUGCAGGAUGACGGCCCUAUGGGUUGUAAACUGCUUUUAUGUGGGAAUAAAGUGGCGCACGUGUGCGCCAUUGCAUG